CCUACGGGAGGCAGCAGUGAGGAAUAUUGGUCAAUGGACGAAAGUCUGAACCAGCCAAGUAGCGUGAAGGAUGACUGCCCUAUGGGUUGAAAGCUUCUUUUAUAAAGGAAUAAAACGCGGCACGUGUGCCUUUUUGCAUGUACUUUAUGAAUAAGGAUCGGCUAACUCCGUGCCAGCAGCCGCGGUAAUCCGGAGGUUCCGAGCGUUAUCCGGAUUUAGUGGGUGUAAAGGGAGCGUAGAGGGGUUGUCAAGUCAGGUGUGAAAGUUUGCGGCUCAACCGUAAAAUUGCAAUUGAUACUGGCAGUCUUGAGUACAGGUGAGGUAGGCGGAAUUCGUGGUGUAGCGGUGAAAUGCUUAGAUAUCACGAAGAACCCCGAUUGCGAAGGCAGCUUACUAAACUGUGACUGACGUUGAUGCUCGAAAGUGUGGGUAGCAAACAGGAUUAGAUACCCCAGUAGUC
rnacentral:rRNA from 1 species